UACGUAGGGGGCAAGCGUUGUCCGGAUUUAUUGGGCGUAAAGAGCGUGUAGGCGGCCUGAAAGGUCAGCUGUGAAAACUCGAGGCUCAACCUCGAGACGUCGGUUGAAACCAUCUGGCUAGAGUCCGGAAGAGGAGAGUGGAAUUCCCGGUGUAGCGGUGAAAUGCGCAGAUAUCGGGAAGAACACCCGUGGCGAAGGCGGCUCUCUGGGACGGUACUGACGCUGAGGAGCGAAAGCGUGGGGAGCGAACAGG
rnacentral:rRNA from 1 species